GACGAACGCUGGCGGCGUGCUUAACACAUGCAAGUCGAACGGAAAGGCCUCUUUCGGGGGGUACUCGAGUGGCGAACGGGUGAGUAACACGUGAGUAACCUGCCCUUGACUUUGGGAUAACUUCAGGAAACUGGGGCUAAUACCGGAUAGGAGCUCCUGCUGCAUGGUGGGGGUUGGAAAGUUUCGGCGGUUGGGGAUGGACUCGCGGCUUAUCAGCUUGUUGGUGGGGUAGUGGCUUACCAAGGCUUUGACGGGUAGCCGGCCUGAGAGGGUGACCGGCCACAUUGGGACUGAGAUACGGCCCAGACUCCUACGGGAGGCAGCAGUGGGGAAUAUUGCACAAUGGGUGGAAGCCUGAUGCAGCAAUGCCGUGUGCGGGAUGACGGCCUUCGGGUUGUAAACCGCUUUCGCUCAUGACGAAGCUUUGUGUGACGGUAGUGGGUAAAGAAGCACCGGCUAACUACGUG
rnacentral:rRNA from 1 species